rnacentral:snoRNA from 1 species
AACAAUGUCUUUUAUAGACGCCCAGAGUCACACUGCGCCGGGGGUGGUCCGUUCAGGGCCACUUCAGUGGGCGUGGCCGUGCUCGCGGCAGAUCUUAGAGUAACGUACUUUGUACAGUGGGUACCCUUCUCAGCCAGCAUGACUUUGUCAUGUCUGCAAGGACCUCACAGACAUAU